ACUUAAUAUGUAUGUCCUGGAUCUGAGAGUUAAUGUAAUUGUUAGUGUGUUUUACAGUAGUCUCCUCUCAGGUCCAGUGGGGGAAUGCCCCUGAAAUUUCUAUCAGGAAACCCCUUGCAUGGGGAUUCACAUAAAAGGCCGUGUGUGACUCCUAUUAAAACAGUUCCAGUUCAUCCCCAGUAGAGAUGUCGCGAACCGUCCGCGAACUUCUCGCGAACGGUUCACCACGAACCAUUCGUGGCGAACUCCGGGCAGCUGACACAUCCCGGCCAAUCUCCAGCAGACCCUCCCUCCCAGACCCUUCUACUUCCUGGACAGCAUCCAUGUUGAAGGCAGCUUCAACAUGGAUGCUGUCCAGGAGGUGGGAGGGUCUGGGAGGGAGGGUCUGCUGGAGAUUGGCCGGGAUGUGUCAGCUGACCGGAGUUCGCUGCGAACGGUUCGUGGCGAAAUGCGGCGAACUGUUCGUGAGAAGUUCGCGAACAGUUUCGCGACAUCUCUAAUCCCCAGCAUAGAGCCUCAUCUCAUGUCUGUGGGGGAAGGCUAUACAGGCU